rnacentral:rRNA from 1 species
GGGCCCCUACGGGGGGCAGCAGUGGGGAAUAUUGCACAAUGGGGGAAACCCUGAUGCAGCGACGCCGCGUGAGUGAAGAAGUAUUUCGGUAUGUAAAGCUCUAUCAGCAGGGAAGAAGAAGGACGGUACCUGAGUAAGAAGCCCCGGCUAACUACGUGCCAGCAGCCGCGGUAAUACGUAGGGGGCAAGCGUUAUCCGGAUUUACUGGGUGUAAAGGGAGCGUAGACGGCAGGGCAAGUCUGGAGUGAAAGCCCGGGGCCCAACCCCGGGACUGCUUUGGAAACUGCCAUGCUAGAGUGCUGGAG